CUAAAUUGGAUACAUUUGUUUUGCUUACAAAUGAAGGGCCUAGCUUGGAGAAGGAUGAACAUUGGAGCAAGAACACGCAUGGAGUUGAUGGCAUGCGCAAGGGGAUCAAGAACGGAGUUACAAGUGAUGAUUUCAGGACUUUGAAGCCGCCAUAAGGAGUGCAUGAAGCCUUGGACGAAAUAUACAAGAUGCCACUUCAUAAUAUUCGUCCAUAGGCUAUUCUAGGUGCUGCGUCACCUUAUUAAUGGGCCAGGCCCAUGUAAUUUCGAAAUACUUAAGUAUAGGCUAUUUUUAGAGUCCGUAUGUGUGGGGAAACAAGAGUUAGGGUUGGUUUCGGACGCCACCCUCAAGGGCCACGAAAUUCCCCCCUCUUCCUCCAUAUAUAUAGCCCUUAGGGCGUCGUUUAGACUUUGGGUUUUGUUUAGAUUAAAAGUUCGCCAUAGCUGCAACUUCGCGUACUUCGUUUGUGUCCAACGACCAGACCAAGACGUCACAGAACCCCAUCUUGAUCAAUAAAGCUUUCAUCUUAUAUUCGCAAUAUCCCGAUUGCAAUCUCAGUUUCUUGCUUGUUCUUCAUUUGCUCGCAGGAAACAGACCCUCGUGGUCAGGUUGAUCGUGCUCCGGCGUGGUCAAUUACCCUCGGUAGUUGGUUUAGCGAUUGCUAAGGCGCGACGUCUCGCACGUUCGUAGUCGGAUCGUCAAGGUCGACUCCCACAGAAAACGAUAGCCACCAUCUCAUCGAAACAUCGGGACACCUUAGCCUCUAUCAUUCAUUAAAGACUUCUCAAAAAAUUCUAGGCCUCUGACUAAUCUCUUACAAAAAGAUGUCCCUUUUGUCUUUGAUGAUGAUUGUGUAGAAGCAUUUGAAAUACUUAAGAAAGCCUUGAUUUCUGCACCUAUUGUUCAGCCACCUGAUUGGAAUUUACCCUUUGAAAUUAUGUGUGACUAGUCAUCUACCCGUGCGGCUGUACGGCCUAGAAAUUUCUCUGUCUAACAUGGUUGUGUAAAUUCAUUUGUCACAUCAACAUUUUUGGAUAGCUAUACAUGUUGGUCAAACACAUCAAGUGUCCUACAGUAGAUGAACAGAAGUGUAGAGACACCCUAAUAUGUUUCUAUCGGUUGAACCUUUCUUGACCUGAUGAGCUACCAAGUCUUGAAAUAAUUGGUACAUAUACCAGGUCAAAUGUUACAAAAAUUAUAAAUCAACAACAAUUUCGAAGCUGUUAGGGACAAAUAUUCUAUUCAUUUUUUAUUUAUUUUAUUUCGGUCAUGUUUCUUUUCUUUCAAAAGGAAUGAAAAAAAUCAUUCACGAUUAGACUUUUUUUCAAAAGGAAUAACUGGACGUGGUUUUUUAAUUUCAUUUUUCUCAUGGGAACAUGCAUGUGGCUGAAAAACAUUUAGGCAUAAUUUUUCUAAGCAUGAGGUUUUGGCGAGCAAUUAUUUGUACGGCACUUUAAUUUGCUUUUUGUCAAGGGAGCACACUUGUGGUUUUUAUUUUGGUGAUAUUUAGGACAUGGAAUCUUUUUCUAGCAUUGGGCCUAAGGACGUUUCAUUUAUGUGUAUCUUUAUUUGAUAACAUAUCUUCUUUUUUCUUUAUCAAUGGAGAAGGAAAAUGGAUUUUGCUUUGGUUGGUACUUGAACGUCGGCAUGCAGGACAAUUUUCUGUGCAUGUGGGUUUAAUCCUUUUUCAUACUUUUAGUACGUGUUGUUUUUCUACUUUUUUUACCUUAAGUGAUCUCUCGUAAUAAAAUUCCUGGCAUAUGUUUUUUUACAUAAUAUGUCUUUGUUUCAGGAAACCAAGAGCGACUCAAGGGAGGAAGUCUCCCAUACAUGGUAGCAUAGGACACUUAGAUUUUUGUUUUAUAAAGAAAGAUUUCAUUUUUAAUGAAACAGAGAGAGUCCCAUGGGACUAAGACUCCCGUACGUGGAGUAAUAUCACUCAACAUGUCUUAUCUUUCAUCCAAAGGAUAUAGAUACAUUAUAAUUAAUCCAACGGUCAAUAUUCUUUAAUUAUAAGGAAUAACCUGGUGCCUCGUAUGGUGCCUCCAAUUAGUAAAUAUAAGAUGCUAGUGAUUAUGUUGUAGGUGUUGUUCUAGGACAAAGGGUUGAUAAGAAAUUAAAUGUUAUCCAAUAUGCUAGUAAAACUCUAGACAGUGCCCAGAGAAAUUAUGCUACUAUUGAAAAAGAAUUUUUAGCAGUUGUAUUUGCUUGUGAUAAGUUCAGACCUUAUAUUGUUGAUUCUAAAGUAACUGUUCACAUUGAUCAUGCUGCUAUUAAAUAUCUUAUGGAAAAGAAAGAUGCUAAACCUAGACUUAUUAGAUGGGUUCUAUUGCUACAAGAAUUUGAUUUGCAUAUUAUUGAUAGAAAGGGAGCUGAGAACCCCAUUGCAGACAACUUAUCUAGGUUAGAGAAUGUUCUUGAUGACACGCUACCUAUUGAUGGUAGAUUUCCUGAUGAACAAUUAGCUGUCAUAAAUGCUUCUCAUACUGCUCCAUGGUAUGAUGAUUAUGCUAAUUACAUUGUUGCUAAAUUUAUACCUUCUAGUUUCACAUACUAGCAAAACAAAAAGUUUUUCUAUGAUUUAAGACAUUACUUUUGGGAUGACCCAAACCUUUAUAAAGAAGGAGUAGAUGGUGUUAUUAGACGUUGUGUACCUGAGCAUGAACAGGAACGGAUCCUACACAAGUGCCACUCCGAGGCUUAUGGAGGACACCACGCUGGAGAUAGAACUGCACAUAAGGUAUUGCAAUCUGGUUUUUGUUGGCCUACUCUUUUCAAAGAUGCCCGUAAGUUUGUCUUGUCUUGUGAUGAAUGUCAAAGAAUUAGUAAUAUUAGUAGACAUCAAGAAAUGCCCAUGAACUAUUCACUUGUUAUUGAACCAUUUGAUGUUUGGGGCUUAGAUUAUAUGGAACCGUUUCCUUCCUCUAAUGGGUAUACACAUAUUUUAGUUGUUGUUGAUUACGUUACUAAGUGGGUAGAAGCUAUUCCAACUAGUAGUGUUGAUCAUAACACCUCUAUUAAGAUGCUUAAAGAAGUUAUUUUUCCGAGGUUUGGAGUGCCCAGAUACUUAAUGACUGAUGGUGGUUCACAUUUUAUUCAUGGUGCUUUUCGUAAAAUGCUUGCUAAGUAUGAUGUUAAUCAUAGAAUUGCAUCUCCAUAUCACCCACAGUCUAGUGGUCAAGUAGAAUUGAGUAAUAGGGAGAUUAAAUUAAUUUUGCAAAAGACUGUUAAUAGAUCUAGAAAGAAUUGGUCCAAGAAACUUGAUGAUGCAUUAUGGGCCUAUAGAACUGCAUAUAAAAAUCCUAUGGGUAUGUCUCCGUAUAAAAUAGUUUAUGGAAAAACAUGUCACUUACCUCUCGAACUAGAACAUAAGGCAUAUUGGGCCAUUAAAGAGCUCAAUUAUGAUUUCAAACUUGCCGGUGAGAAGAGACUAUUUGACAUUAGAUCACUUGAUGAGUGGAGAACCCAGGCCUAUGAGAAUGCCAAGCUGUUUAAAGAAAAAGUUAAAAGAUGGCAUGACAAAGGAUACAAAAGCGUGAGUUUAAUGUAGGUGAUUAUGUUUUGUUAUAUAACUCUCGUUUAAGAUUUUUUGCAGGAAAACUCCUCUCUAAAUGCGAAGGUCAACGUUAUCGAGGAGGUCUAUCAUUCCGUGCCAUAAAAAUCGACAACUUCGAAGGCACAAAUCCGAAGGUGGUGAACGGUCAAAGAAUCAAACAUUAUAUCUCAGGUAAUCCCAUAAAUGUUGAAACCAAUGUUAUUGACACCGUAACCCCGGAGGAGUACAUAAGGGACACUUUCCAGAAUGUUUCAGACUCUGAAAAGGAAUAGGUAUGUGGUACGGUAAGUAAACCGGCUCCAAAACAGUUCCAAUAGCAUUUUUUCUCCAUUUUGGAAUAUUUAAGAAAAUAGGAAAAUAAGAAGUAGUCCAAAAGGGACGCGAGGCGUCCACGAGGGUGGAGCGUGCGCCCUACCCCCUUGGGCGUGCCCCCUGCCUCGUGGGUACCUCGUGUGCCCUCUAGACUCCGUUUUCUUGCACGAUACUUCUUUUGGUCGGUAAAAAUUCAUUAUAUAAUCUCCCGAAGGUUUUGGCCACCGUACCACGACAAUACCUCAUGUUUUUGUCUUGAGUUGUUUCUGCCGCAGAUUAGAUCAAGAUGUCUUCUCAAGAGUCAGUCGGGGAGAUCCGAGUAUCUCACCCGACACCAUCGCCAAAAGUAAACAGCGAUACAUAUCACUUUGGGAGAUCAACUGAGGAGGAGAUGGAGGCCGACUUGAAAAGUAUAUAUGCCAUGGAGGAGGAUCAAGAAGUUACCUCUCAUCUCCAAGCCAGAUUCAAGAUGGAGGAACUUCAGAGCGCGGCAAUUCCAAAUUCGGUCAUCCCUCCCAAUGUUAGAUUUCUUUCUUAUGAAAAUAUGAAGAAUAGUGUUACUUGUUCUCCCGCGGCUAUGCAACAUCCAUGGGUGAAAGGAGCUUUAGCCAUCAUGGGUAAGCUCCGUAAGGAAAUAAUGGAUCUCAAGCAGUAAGUCAAUAAGCGCGAGGAAGAGAAUCAUAUCCUCAGGGGCAUCAUCGCUAAGAAUAUCACUUCACCAUCACCUCCGAAGAAAGAGAAAUAAAUACAUGGGUAUGGGCACUCCCCUUGGCAACUGCCAAGCUUGCGGGAGGUGCCCCGGUAUCGUAUCACCAUCACACUUCUAUCUUUACCAUUUUUCUUAGUUCGAUCCUUUUGGUUAUAUUUUGAUCUAGUAGAAUAAAGUUUAGUAUGAUCUAGCUUUGAGUCUUUGUGUUGAUCCUUAUCUAUGUAAUCGAGUCCAUGAGCUAUAUAUAAUAAAGAUUAGUCUUGAGUUGAGGGCUUGGUUAUCUUGCUAUGACCUUGAGGGAAUAAACGAAAGUAAAAAGAAAGAAUAAAAAGAAAUAAAGAGAUCAUAUUGAUCUUAUGGAGAGUAAUGACUUCACACAUAAAACAGUAUGAUGAAUAAAAGUUGUUGAGAGUUGAGAAACAUAGUUUUGGUCAUCGUUGCAAUUAAUAGGAAGUAAUAAAGAAAGAGAGGUUUUCACAUAUAAAUAUACUAUCUUGGACAUCUUUUAUGAUUGUGAGCACUAAUUAAAAUAUGACAUGCUAAAAAGUUGAUGUUGGACAAGGAAGACAACGUAAUGGGUUAUGUUUUCUUAUAUCCAAAAUAAAUUAUAUUGUCAUGGAUCAUCCAACAUGUUGAGCUUGCCUUUCCCCCUCAUGCUAACCAAAUUCUUUGCACCAAGUAGAGAUACUACUUGUGCUUUCAAAUAUCCUUGAACCUAGUUUUGCCAUGAGAGUCCACCAUAUCUACCUAUGGAUUGAGUAAGAUCCUUCAAGUAAGUUGUCAUUGCUGCAAGCAAUGAAAAUUGCUCUCUAAAUAUGUAUGAUCUAUUAGUGUGGAGAAAAUAAUCUUUAUACGAGCUUGUGAUAUGGAAGAAAUAAAAGCGACGGACUGCAUAAUAAAGGUCCCUAUCACAAGUGGCAAUAUAAAGUGACGUUGUUUUGCAUUAAGAUUUUGUGCAUCCAACCAUAAAAGCACAUGACAACCUCUGCUUCCCUCUGCGAAGGGUCUAUCUUUUAUUUUUGUCUUAUACCUUAUACAAGAGUCAUGGUGAUCUUCACCUUUCCUUUUUACACUUUAUCCUUUGGCAAGCACUAUGUGUUGGAAAGAUCCAAUUGGAUGUGGGCUUUCUUAAAGAAUUAUUGUUGAUGUUACCCUUGAGGUACAAGAUUGGGAGGCAAAACUAUAAGCCCCUAUCUUUCUCUGUAUCCAAUUAAAACUUCAUACCCGUAAGUAUUGCGUGAGUGUUAGAAAUUGUGAAAGACUAUAUGAUAGUUAAGUAUGUGAACUUGCUGAAAAGCUCUUAUAUUGACUAUUUCCGAUGUUAUGAUAAAUUGAAAUUGCUUCAAUGACUAAGAUUGUAGUUUGUUAGUUUUCAAUGAAGUUUCUGAUUCAUACUUGACAUUGUGAAUAGAUUGUUACUUCAGCAUAAGAAAUCAUAUGACAAUAUAUAUAUAUAUAUAUAUGUUGUUAUUCUAAGAAUAAUCAUGAUGCCUUCAUGUCCGUAUUUUAUUUUAUCGACACCUCUAUCUCUAAACAUGUGGACAUAUUUUUUGAUAUCGGCUUCCGCUUGAGGACAAGCGAGGUCUAAGCUUGGGGGAGUUGAUACGUCCAUUUUGCAUCAUGCUUUUAUAUCGAUAUUUAUUGCAUUAUGGGCUGUUAUUAUAGAUUAUUUCACAAUACUUAUGCCUUUUCUCUCUUAUUUUACAAGGUUUAUAUGAAGAGGGAGAAUGCCGUCAGCUGGAAUUCUCGGCUGGAAAAGGAGCAAAUAUUAGAGACCUAUUCUGCGCAACUCCAAAAGUCCUGAAACUCCACGAAAGUCAGUUUUGGAAUAUAUUAAAAAUAUUGGGCGAAGAAAGCACCAAAGGGGGGCCAUCCACCAUCCACGAGGGUGGGGGCGUGCCCAGGGGUAGGGCACCUGGAAGCCCCUCGAUGCUCAUCUUCUGGUAUAAGGUGUCUUUUGCCCUAGAAAAAUAGGGAGGAAGCUUUCAGGAUGAAGCACCGCCGUCUCGAGGCGGAACCAAUAUAGGGCUCCGGCGGAGCUGUUCUGCUAGGGAAACAUCCCUCCGAGAGGGGGAAAUCGUCACCAUCGUCAUUACCAUCAAUCCUCUCAUAGGGAGGGGGUCAAUCUCCAUCAACAUCUUCACCAGCACCAUCUCCUCUCAAACCCUAGUUCAUCUCUUGUAUCUUAUCUUUGUCUCAAAACCUCAGAUUGUUACCUGUGGGUUGCUAGUAGUGUUGAUUACUCCUUGUAGUUGAUGCUAGUUGGUUUAUUUGGUGGAAGAUUAUAUGUUCAGAUCCGUUAUGCAUAUUAAUACCCCUCUGAUUAUGAACAUGAAUAUGAUUUGUGAGUAGUUAUGUUUGUUCCUAAGGACAUGGGAGAAGUGUUGUUAUAAGUAUUCAUAUGAAUUUGGUAUUCGUUUGAUAUUUUGAUGAGAUGUAUGUUGUCUUUCCUCUAGUGGUGUUAUGUGAACGUCGACUACAUGACACUUCACCAUUCUUUGGGCCUAGGCGAAGGCAUUGGGAAGUAAUAAGUAGAUGAUGGGUUGCUAGAGUGACAGAAGCUUAAACCCUAUUUUAUGCGUUGCUUCCUAAGGGGCUGAUUUGGAUCCAUAUGUUUCAUGCUAUGGUUAGGUUUACCAUAAUUCUUCUUUCGUAGUUGCGGAUGCUUGCGAGGGAGGUUAAUCAUAAGUGGGAUGCUUGUCCAAGGAAGGGAAGUACCCAAGCACCGGUCCACCCACAUAUCAAAUUAUCAAAGUAACGAACGCGAAUCAUAUGAGCAUGACGAAAACUAGCUUGACAAUAAUUCCCAUGUGUCCUCGUGAGCGCUUUCCUUUAUAUAAGAGUUUGUACAGGCUUGUCCUUUGCUACAAAAAGGAUUGGGCCACCUUGCUGCACCUUGUUUACUUUUGUUACUUGCUACCUUUUACGAAUUACCUUAUCAUAAAACUAUAUGUUACCGAUAAUUUCAGUGCUUGCAGAGAAUACCUUGCUGGAAACCGCUUAUCAUUUCCUUCUGCUCCUCGUUGGGUUUGACACUCUCACUUAUCAAAAGGACUAUGAUAGAUACCCUAUACUUGUGGGUCAUCAUGUAUAUGCGGGAACAAUCUUGUGACACAAGGGAUGAUAUGAUACCAAGAUUAUAGCAAUAUGAUAUGGUAUGUACGCAAUGGAAGGUGUAGAUCGAUGAUCACUAAUGUGCACAAGUAACGUUGCCGGCAAGACUCAAUGGCUAGUCUCGAUAGGCAAGUGACGCAAAAUGGGCUAGGGAUUAACAAUGCAAUGGCAAGAAUGAAUGUACAAUGAUGGGAUACCACGAUACCAAGAUGAUAUAGAGGUUACUGUUCUUGCUUACGGUUAGGGUAUCAAAAUGGUGAAGGUGGUCGAUGACGAAUCCUUGACGAAGUUGAGAGGUGGUGUUAUUGAUGUUGAAACGUUCCUAGUUAGCCGACUCACCCUAGGAAACAGAAAAACCGCAAACUCAAAAUCUCAAAGGAAAAUGUCAAAUGGUGGUAGCGGCACUACUGCAGGAUGCUGCUAACGUGACACUACGAUUAGAGAUGCUUUAAUGAAACUGUGUGCGAUGCAUCAAUCACAAACGGGGAUGUAAAAACCGUCAGAAAAGGUGCAAAACAUUUGCAAUGGAGGAUGCAUCAAACACGGUUCACAUUUUAGUUGCGUGUGCGAUCUAGGGCAUACGGUUCAGUCCAAUGACCUAUUUGUGAUGAGGCGGAACAAAAGAAAUGGGCAGCCUGAUGAAGGCGUGUGCGAUAUAGAGCAUACGGUUCACUCGGAUGAACGGUUUGUGAUUAGGCAACACAAAAGAAACGGCCAACUAGAUGAAGGUGUGUGCGAUAUACAGCAUACGGUUCACUCGGAUGAACUGUUUGAGAUUAGGCAACACAAAAGAAACGGUCAGCCAGAUCAAGGUGUGUGAGAUUGAGGGCAUACGCUUCAGAAGGAUUAACUGUUUGCGAUUAGGCAACAUAACAGAAACGGGUAAGCCAGAUCAAAGUGUCUGCGAUUGAUGGCAUACACUUCACAUGGAUGAACUGUUUGCGAUUAGCCACAACAAAUUGAGACAGUUAGAUAGAUCAACGUGUGUGCGCUAGACAGGCACACCCAUUCUAAUUAAAAGAAGCGUGUGCGACGCUAAUAACGAGCGCGCACGGUUGUUGGAACAAGACGUGUGCUGACAUUGCCUAUUGCGGUGCACCCUAUGGUGCAAACGCCACGUACGCGGCCGAGAAGGCGUACGUGCCCAUGUUACGCCUUCCGGGAAUAGUGUCGCACUUAUAACCGUCAGUAAAUUUUGAGCAUGCGUCCUGUCACAAUUUUUUUAGAAGAACAAGGAGGUUGCGUCCCAUCACAUUCCAAAUUGCAAACCUGUUCACACCGAUCAAAACCUAUACAGUUUCCCACUUAGGAGUGUAUUACUACGCGGUUAUAAAUACUACUACUCCAAGAUGACUGCACAUUCCUCCUCAACUCCUCAUCCACAAAAAGUCAAAAACAAACACGUCAUUCAUCAUCGUUCCCUUACGUCCGCCAUGGCCAGCGUGAGUUCUGGGUCGAGAGAUUGCCACCAGGGAGAGGCGAGCCUGGAAGCGGGAGCACGAGAGAUGUCCUGCCUCGCCGCAAAAGCAGCCAACAUGUGCCGCCGCACGGCCGUAGCAGCAGAAGGUCCCGCCGCGCCACCGAAGCAGCAUGGAGGACCCGCCAUGCCGUCGAUGCAGCAGAAUGGUCCGGUCAUGCCGCGGAGGCAGAAGAGAAGUCCCGCCGUGCCGUGAAUGCAGCAAAGAUGUCCUCCCGCGUUGCGGUGGCCUGGGAAAAUGCCUUGCGGGCAGGAGAGGACUCUUACAGGCGCAUGCGUGUCCUCGUCCUUAGGCAGAUGGAUCAAAUCUCCAGGUGGGAGAGGUUGCAGGAUGACCUGAAAGCCUCGUUGGAACAGUCUACCGAUGUCAUCCUGCAACUAAAUGAGAGCAAUGCGAAGCUCCGGGCCGAGCGCGACCUGCUGAGGGCAAAGAUCGUCGGAAGUGCGGAGUGAGGGAGUCCUGGACUAAGGGGUCCUCAGGCAUCCGACCUGUUGGACAUGGGCCGGACUAAUGGGUUUUGAAGAUACAAGACCGAAGACUCUCUCCCGUGUCCGGAUGGGACUCUUCUUGGCGUGGAAGGCAAGCUUAGCGUCCAAGAUAUGAAGAUUCCUUUCUCUGUAACUGACUUUGUACAACCCUCAUCCCCUCCGGUGUCUAUAUAAACCGGAGGGCUUAGUCCGAAGGACAGAUAUAGUCAUACAGGCUAGACUUCUUGGGUUUUAGCCAUUACGAUCUCGUGGUAGAUCAACUCUUGUAAUACUCAUAUUCAUCAAGAUCAAUCAAGCAGGAAGUAGGGUAUUACCUCCAUAGAGAGGGCCCGAACCUGGGUAAACACUGUGUCCCUUGUCUCCUGUUACCAUCGACCUUAGACGCAUAGUUCGGGACCCCCUACCCGAGAUCCGCCGGUUUUGACACCGACAUUGGUGCUUUCAUUGAGAGUUCCAUUGUGCCGUCCUCAAGAGGUUUGAUGGCCCCUUCAAUCAUCUACAACAAUGCUGUCCAAGGAGAAGUCUUCCUCCCAGGACAGAUCUUAGUGUUCGGCGGCUUCGCACUACGGGCCAACUCGCUUGGCCAUCUUGAGCAGAUCGACAGCUAUGCCCCUGGCCGUCAGGUCAGAUUCGGGAGGUUGAACUACGUCACGGAUAUCUGCGGAGACUUGAUCUUCGACGGAUUCGAGACCACGGCAGCCGCUCCUCGUCACCAUGAUGAACAUGACUUAAAUCUGUCAUCGGACCAUACCCAGGAGAUAGCACCUGUAACUGCUCUGGCCUUAGAUCCAGAGCAGAUCGUGCCAUCUGAAGACAGGAAGCUCAACCCGGCCAUAGAUGCCGCAGUCUCAGCGGCGUUAGAGCCGCACACAGACCCAACCUCGAGUGGAAUCUGUGUCACCGAAGCCUCGGACUCGUUUCCGGCUAUAGGUUCUGAACCAUGUGUGUCCAGGUGCGUCGAGCUCGAUCAGUCUUUGAUCGUCGAAUUCAGCUCCACGGACAUUUUUCGGCACUCGCCUUUGGGCGACGUGUUAAACUCGUUAAAGGCACUAUCCUUAGCGGGGGGCUCACAGUCGAAUUAUAUCCGGUUUGAACUAGAGGCUGAUGACGGAGAACUUCCCUUCCCACCCACCGCCCACUUCACAGCCACUGUCAAAGAUUUAACCGACAUGCUAGAUUACAGCUCUAAAGACAUCGACGGUAUGGACGACGAUGCCAAUGAGGAGCAGGGCCAAAACCCGUCGUUUACUGGACGCUGGACGGCCACCUCUUCUUACGACGUGUACAUGGUGGAUACACCUAAAAGAACUAACGAUGAUGACAGAGAAGAUCCAGUUGAGGAUGAACCUCCUAUGAUACAGCCAAAACGUCGGUGUCAGCGGCCCUGUUCUAAGUCACGUCAUGGAAAAGACAGCAAUACUGGCACGGGGGAAAACAAUACUCCGGACGAUGCCGAAGAUAAUGAAGACCCUGUUGAGAUAACUUCCGAACAGGAGGAACAGGAAAACGGGCAAGUUAGCCCUGACGAACAGGCCAUAAACGACAACUCGGAGGACAUUAAUUAUCUUCCACUCUCCGAGGAUGAGGUGAGCCUUGGCAAUGAGGAUUUUAUCGUGCCUAAGGAACCUCUCGAGCAGGAGCGCUUCAAGCGCCGGCUAAUAGCCACUGCAAGGAGCCUGAAAAAGAAGCAGCAGCAGCUUCAAGCUGACCAAGAUCUGCUCAACGAUAGAUGGAAUGAUAUCCUAGCAGCCGAAGAAUACGGCCUCAAGCGCCCAGCCAAAAGCUACCCGAAGCGCAAAUUGCUACCUCAGUUCGAUGAUGAGGCACCGGAGCCUGUACCAUCAUCGCGCAAUGCGGCUGACCGACCAUCACAUGGUCGGGAUAAAGCGGCAACUCAAGCCGAACACCAACCCGCCCCACCUCAUCACAAAGGCAGAGAUAAACUAGCUCAUGGUUAUACAUAUGCCCUUCGGCAGGACCUAGACAGUAGAUUAGGACAUACCAGAUCGAUCUACGAAUCGCGAGGACGCGUCCUCACACGCGACGAUGGCCAUCUAUUCAGACGUGACAACCCUAGCAUGCCCAGGCCAAAAACCGCAGACGGACUCCAUCUGAGCUAUGUCGCGAUGUGGACCGAUAUUGAGGCGGCGCACACCCUCUUUGAUUCACUGACGAAGUAAUGGAGCAUGAAUUCCCAGAAGGGUUUAAACCCGUGAAUAUCGAAUCAUAUGAUGGAACAACUGAUCCCGCGGUAUGGAUCGAGGAUUUUCUUCUCCAUAUCCAUAUGGCCCGUGGAGAUGACCUUCACGCCAUUAAAUACCUCCCACUAAAACUCAAAGGGACAGCUCGGCACUGGUUAAACAGUCUGCCCGAAAACUCUAUUGGCGGCUGGGAGGAUUUGGAAGACGCCUUCCAUGACAACUUCCAAGGUACAUAUGUUCGGCCACCAGAUGCCGAUGACUUAAGUCACAUAGUUCAACAGCCCGGAGAGUCAGCCAGGAAAUUCUGGACUAGGUUCCUAACUAAAAAGAACCAGAUCGUCGACUCUCCGGAUGCCGAAGCCCUAGUGGCCUUUAAGCAUAGCAUUCGCGACGAAUGGCUCACCCGCCACCUUGGUCAAGAAACUUCGAAGUCCAUGGCAGCCCUCACGGCACUCAUGACCUUCUUUUAUGCGGGUGAGGAUAGUUGGCUGGCUCAUAGCAAAAACAUGGCAAGCGAAGCGGGCACCUCCGAUGUUAAAAACAGCAACGGCAAGCUCCGACGCAACAGGCACAAAUGUCGAAGCAAUGGUGACAAUACCGAUGACACGACAGUCAACGCCGGAUUCAGUGGCUCCAAGUCCGGUCAGCGGAAGAAGCCAUAUAAAAGAAACAACCUGGGACCAUCCAGCUCAAACCGCAUACUCGAUCGUCCGUGCCAGAUCCAUGGCACCCCAGACAAACCAGCCAAUCAUACCAACAGAGAUUGUUGGGUUUUUAAACAGGCCGGCAAGUUAAAUGCCGAGAACAAGGAGAAGGGAUCGCAAAGCGAGGACGAUGACGAGGAGCCCCGGCCACCGAACACAAGGGGACAGAAGAAGUUUCCCCCUCAGGUCAAAACGGUGAACAUGAUAUACGCUACCCACAUCCCCAAGAGGGAGCGCAAGCGCGCUCUCAGGGACGUCUAUGCGAUAGAGCCAGUCGCCCCAAAACUUAAUCCAUGGUCGUCAUGCCCGAUCACCUUCGAUCGUCGGGAUCAUCCGACCAGUAUCCAUCACGGCGGUUCAGCCGCACUGGUCCUUGACGCAAUAAUUGAUGGAUUCCACCUAACGCGAGUCCUCAUGGACGAUGGCAGCAGCCUCAACCGUCUCUAUCAGGAUACAGUACACAAAAUGGGCAUUAAUCCAACACGGAUCAAGCCCACAAAGACUACCUUUAAAGGAGGCAUGCCCGGUGUAGAGGCCCGCUGUACGGGCUCAAUCACACUAGAGGUUGUCUUCGGAUCUCCGGACAACUUCAGAAGUGAAGAGUUAAUCUUCGAUAUCGUCCCCUUUCGCAGCGGCUAUCACGCACUACUUGGACAAACCGCAUUUGCUCGAUUCAACGCGGUGCCACACUAUGCUUAUCUCAAGCUCAAGAUGCCUGGACCACGCGGCGUCAUAAUAGUUAAUGGAAACAGGGAAUGCUCCCUCCGUACUGAGGAGCACACCGCUGCCUUAGCAGCAAAAGUACAGAGUGGCCUUUUCAAGCAGAACCUUAAUUCGGUGGUCGAGCUCCCCGACACUGUCAAGAGAGUCCGGACUAUUCCGCGGUAGGACAGCUCAGCUCGUCAAGAGCUCGACUAGCAAUCUAGCCUCCGUCCCAGUCCCGACCAAGUGGCAGCAUUCGUACCACGGGUACAUAACUACGCACUCAAAAUACCAUGGGCAUAGACGAAGGCAUAACUAUCUUGUGAUCCACAGUACGGCUCGAUCGAACCCGGACAUGAAAGUGCGUUAUAUCGACUAGAGGGGGGUGAAUAGGCGAUUUUUAUGAAAGUCUUCAGAACAUGGGAGUUUUGAAGACAAACGAUAAAAAUAGACCUAUUACCAUGCAGCGGAAGGUAGACUACACUAGGCAAACCAUAGUCAAGUAUUCAAUGAAGUGAAAGCACAAAGACUAAUAGCAGCUAGGUAGUAAGGAUCAGAUAGGAAGAUAUUGUGAAGCCAAACAGAACACGCAGUCACUCAGUGAAGACAAAUGAUAGAGCAAACAUACAAUGACUUCACAAGGAGUAACAGUAAGUAACGUGAAGUGAAGAUGAAACCAGUGACUCGUUGAAGACAAUGAUAUGUUGAACCAGUUCCAGUUGCUGUGACAACUGUACGUGUGGUUGGAGCGGCUAGGUAUUUAAACCUUAGGACACACAGUCCCGGACACCCAGUCCUGAACACACAGCUCAGGACACCCAGUCCUCACCGUAUUAUCCUUGAGCUAAGGUCACAUAGACCUCGCCCAAUCACUCUGGUAAGUCUUCAAGGUAGACUCCCAAACCUUCACACACUUCGUUCACUGGCAAUCCACAAUGUCUCUUGGAAGCUCAGAACGCGACGCCUAACCGACUGGAGGAUGCACAGUCCUCAAGUGUAAUAAGUCUUCAGAUCACACAGAGAAGAAGACUUAAGUGAUGCCCAAUUCUCUCUGGCUCUGGUGGUUAGGUCUUUAUCCUCGCAAGGAAUUCUCUCUGAAAGGCUUCGAGGUGGGUUGCUCUCAAAUGACAAAAGCCGUGCUUUCAAUCUGAGCAGCUAACCAUUUAUGGUUGUAGGGGGUGGGCUAUUUAUAGCCACUUGGCAACCCGGCCUGAUUUGUCCGAAAUGACCCUGGGUCACUAAGGAACUGACACGUGUUCCAACGGUCAGAUUUCAAACUCACACGACAACUUUACUUGGGCUACAAGCAAAGCUGACUUGUCCGACUCUGGACAAGAUUCGCUCUCAUUGUCUUCACUCGAAGACAUAGGUUUUUGGUUUAGGCAUCACUUCAGUCAUUCUGACUGGUUCUCUUGGACCCCACUUAACAGUACGGUGGUUCAUAUGACUGAACACAAAAGAAAAAGAACUACAAAAGAUCUAAGUCUUCGAGCUCCAUAGGCUUCAUAUCGUGUCUUCUCUUGUCAUAGUCUUCAAUGUGAAUAUCUUCAUAUACCACCUUUGACUUCAAUGUCUUCAUACAUUUUUAGGGGUCAUCUCUGGUAGUAAAACCGAAUCAUGAGGGACUUCUACCUGUGUUAUCCUGCAAUUCUCACAAACACAUUAGUCCCUCAACUAGGUUUGUCGUCAAUACUCCAAAACCAACUAGGGGUGGCACUAGAUGCACUUACAAUCUCCCCCUUUUUGGUGAUUGAUGACAAACUAGUUGAAGUUUUCAACGGGGAAUAUAAUCUGUGAAACUGUAAAGGAUAAGGAAUUGUCUUCAUAAGUUGCAAGGGCUCCCCCUGAAGAUGUGCAUAUUAGUUAAUUUGCUUUUGGAAUGCAAAUGCACAUGGCAGGUGGUACUUGUGGAGAUCCACUUAAACUUAUGAUGACAAUCCACUAUGCAUGUGAAAGUAUAUGAAGAUAAUGCCAUGCAUAAUGGAAAAUGGACGUCUGCAGAAUGAGUUGAGUGCGGAAUUUAUCGUCGCACAUGCGGAAUUUAUCUUCGCAAAACAAGGUGGCAAAUAAGUAGUAGACGACCAUCUAGUUUAAGUGUUACAACUCAUAAGAACCAAAUGUAGCAAAAAAACGAGAGUUGUAAGCACGAAGCAAAAUAUAAGGCACCCGCCCAUAUGAACCCGCUUGAAGACUAUCAAUCUCAUAUGCUUCUCCCCCUUUUGUCAGUAAUGACCAAAAAGGUUUGAAGACAUAGAGCCUCUACUCGUUCCCAUGAGGAGUAGGUGAAGUAGCAGGGUUGUUGGUGUUGUUUGGCGGUGCAGAAGAGCUUGGAGGUGCUGAAGGAGGUGGCGGUGAAGUAGCAUCGUCUUCUUCUUCAAUAAUUCUGGCAGUGACUAUGGCAGCAGAGGAAGAGAACUCAGAGUCUUCAAGGGAUGGAGUUCCUAGUAGCACAGCCCUUCGAGGAGGUGUGGAGUCAAACUUGAAUCUCUUAGUGAAGCCAUCCUCUUGAAGAUCAGCUUCAGAAAGCAUCAUCGUUAGCCCUUUCCAUGUGCAGCGACAGGUUUCAUGGGCAACGAAAAUAUUCUUGGUGGCAAGAUUUCGAGUGUGAUUAACAUCCACCAAGAGGCUUUUCAUCUGACGCUUCAGCCAGUCAUGAUGCCUAUCUUGUUUCUGAUGUAGAGCCACAAGAAGCUCUCGGUCGUUGAGAACACGAGUGCGCUUCUUGGGUCUUGGAGCAGUGGUACUGUCAGUGGCUUCAGUGGAAGCAGGGUGUGGUGCACGUGUAGUGCCAGCCAAAGGAUACACCCGAGAAACUGCUUCAACGCCUUCAACGUUCUGCAUAAAACUCUGAUGUUCUGCAUUCUGAAGACUUAGAGGUUGCUUGGCAGGCUCAGAAUAUAUGGCUUCAGUAGACAUGUCCACAUCAGGCAAGAAGAUCCGAUGGUUGCGGGCUGAGGGCUGAUAAGAGAUGGCGGAGUGUAGCUUGAUCAGCCGCAUGACCCAAGGGGCGUAGAACUUCAAAUCAAACAGAUCAAUGCCUGAUGCAGCAAGUUGGCGUAUGAAGAAGUCCUGUGCAUUGAAGCAUUUUCCAUGAAGUAUAUAGAAGACCAAAGUCUUCAUUGCACCCUGAAGCUUGGCAUUUGGAGAGUGCCCUUUGAUAGGCCAGAGAGUUUGCCUGAUGAUGUGAUAGAUGGUUCUGGGCAGGUACUCAAGGUCUUCAAUGAAGAACUCUGUGGGAUACGCAGCAUCUUGGGGCAAUGGCUUCAUCAUGCUGAGCAUUUGACUCAUAUUAGGUUCUGGCCGCUGAAAGAUGCUCUCAAUAGCUUCAGCAUGCAGCUGACAGCCUUGCUCGAAGAGAUCGCCAGGAGUGGGCAAGCCAAUGAGCUCAAUGAUGUCAAAUGCAUUGGCUUCGUGAUGAACGUUGCCAGUCAUCCACUCCAGGACACAAGUCUUCAGAUCUCUGCUGUAUCCUUUGAUGUGAAGUGUGGCAUAGAAUUGUAGCAGCAGAUCUUCAUUCCAAUGCUCUUCAGCAGUAACAAAUUGCAGCAGACCCACUUGCUUGAAGCAAUCCAACGCUUCUUCUAGAUAGGGCAGACCAGCUAUAGCUUCAACGUCAAGGCGCUUGUGUGGGAAGAUGCGUCCUUGGUUGUAAAGAAUGCAAGAGUAAUAGCUUCGCUCAGGAUAGCUCCAGAACCGAUCAGAUGAUAUCCGUUCCCUUGAGUAGGGGUUCCUGGAGCUGUUGAAGAACGUGUUGUCUUCCCUGAAGCCAUUGAUGUUGAAGGAGCCAGGUGCUGAUGCAGGACCUGGAAACCUUGGCAGUCUUGGGAUUGGCUUCUGGACCUGAGGCCUGUGCUCAACAUGAUAGUUGAAUUGGGGACCGGCAGCAGACUCGGGAACAGAAGUGGCGGGAUCAGUGGCUUCGCUGUCUUCUGAAGCUUUUGCUGGGGAGGGCUCCACAUUAGCUUCGUUGUUGGUUGUGGCAGCCUCAAGAUUUUCAUCCUCCACUUGACUAGCUGGAGGGUCAGUCACAUGCACGUUCUCCUAGAGAACUGCUUCUUGGUGGAGCAGGGGAGUGGGAUCUUGUGGUACUUCUUCUUCUGUGGCUGAUGCAGCCGGAAUGUCUUCAGCAUAGACUUGAGGCCUUGGACCUUUGCGAAGCCUGCGGAACGCAGAUGACGCCUGUGGAAUUGGAGUGGGCUGGGCCUCAUAGUCUUCUUCCUCUUGUGGGCGAUCCGCCCAUGAAGCAUCCUGUGCAAUUGGCGUCAGUGGACGACCAAUGCUGAUGAGUUUGCUGUUUUCUAACUGAGGAAGGACUGCAUCAUCUUCUACAUUGUCAUGAUGACCAAUGUCUUCAGCAGCGAUGGGAUCAGCUGCUGGAAUGUCUUCAGCUUCAGGAGCCUCUGUGAAAGCAGGCUCAUGAACCGUCAGUUGACGUUCUGCUUCAGGAUGAACCAUAGAAAUGGGUUCAACUAUCAAGGGCUCUGUGGGAGCAGCCCGAGCUUUCUUGGUUUUUCGCUUUUUCUUGGUGGGGGCAGUAGGAGAGUCUUCAGAGUGUUUCCUCUUCAUGGCUUCAGCCUCAGCAGUUCUUGUCUUCUUGAGCUCUGAAGCUGUUGACCUGCUCUUUGGCUUCGAGCCAGUCAUUCUUGUUGGGAAGACAAUCGAAACUGCUUCUUGCCUUGGUGCAUUAGAUUCAGCCGUAGCAGGCUUCUUCUUCUUCUUUGCGGCCAUCCUGGGGUCGAUGCCAGGACACCCAAGUGCCUUGCGCUUCUCAGCCUCAUUAUAGGCUUGCACACAUCUGUCAGCCAGAGUCUUCAUGCGCUCACGCGAACCCUGAGCUUCUGCACGCUUCUUCACAAAGGCUUCCUUGAGCUCAUGCAUCAUUGUCUUGAAGUUCUUCACUUCUUGCACGCUGAGCUUGGCCAUAUGCUUCUUGAACUGAGCCUUUUCAUAGUCAAUCUUCUACUUCAGCUCAACAACGCGCUGGGCAAUAGCAAGUUCUGAAGCAAUGGCGCCUUGGAAGGCGACACUGAGGCCAAUGGGUAGCUGCAGAUCUUCAAAGCUGAUGUUUGGCGUGUCAAACCACUCGUCAAUGAAGUUGUGGAUGAUGGUGACAUCAAAGAGAGGCAGAUCAUUGAAGAUUUCUGCUUCUUCUUUGCUCUUGAUGAGUUGCUCAAGAGUGUCAUCUGCAAGAUCUUCAUCACUUGACAGAUCAAUGUCGUCGUUGCGUAGAAUGGUAGCAGCUGCUAGCUCUUUGCCAGUGUGAAACAGAGGCAUCUUGGCCUUCUGGGGCCUUGAGACAGGUGAUAAGUCUUCAGACUGCACACUGUCUUCAGGAGGUGCAGUUGCCAAUGGCUUCGCCCUUGAGAUUUUUGGUGAAGGGGCCGGCUUUGAAGCUUUUGGCUUCUUCAACUGCUUUGGCUUCGGCACUUCAGGCGCGUCAUCAGACUCAGUGUCAGCUGUAGGCUCAUUCACUGCAGUCCCUUGAACCAAUAUGUAGGUGAUGAGGCCUUCAAGGUUGGCGAAAGGGCCGAUGACAUUGGGUUCUGCAUGUUGUGUGCCAUCUGCCCUUGGAGAUGAGGGACCAGGGUUGAAGUCUAACCCAAAAGUCUUCUUGUUCUGCUUCGCUGAGUUCUGAGCAAACUGGAAGUUGCGCUUGAACAGAUUGUCGUCACGACACAAUAGCAGUGACGACGAGUGUGCAUCAGCAGGCUGUGGUCCAUGGACCAUGCAUGGAUAGAAGCCUUGAGCAAUGGCUUCAUCUCUGGACCUGGGUAGAAGAUUCUUGAAUAGGAUGUCUCCCCACGGUCUCUUGAUGGUGCUUUUCUCAACAUACUCCUGGGUCACAAAUCUGUAUUUAAACCAUUGUUCUGCCCAAUAUCUUCGAAUCCAUUGGAUUCGGGUCUUGCACUGACUGUAAUCCUCUUCAGGAUCUGUCUUGUACAUUUCUGAGAGUUCAUCUGGCAGAUCUCUGGAGGUCUCACCACGACGCUUUCUUCCACCCUUCCUUGCUGCUUUCUCUGAAGCCAUAAACUUUAACUUGAAAGGCUUCAAGACGUUCAAAGGCUUCAAAGGUUUUCGUUUGCUGGACCAACAGGAACUGGCUUCGGGAGAAUUUAGGUGAUGCUGUAAGAAUUCUGCAAAUGAAUGUAGACUAUGAGAACCAAAGGAUUCUCCCACGGACAUGUACCUGUGACAGCAUUAAGAUGCGAGGGAAGGGGAAGAGGUCAUAUGCAUUCUCAGAAGAUUUUGAAGAUAAAUCAGGUUAGAAGACAUUGACCUCAUCGUGCGAAGACAUUCACUCAUAGAUAAGAAGUUGGUUCCAGAUUUGUACGAAUCCACAGAUCAGUACAAGUGAGGAAUCUAACUACUUUGUUAAGCACAAGUGAAUAUACUAGGCAUUUUUAUGAGAUGCCGUAUGAGAGAGAUUUAGCUUGUGUGAACAAAAACUGCUUGUGGUAGAAAGUGACAGAUCAAUAGGAUCAACGGUGCUGUAAAAAGGGAGUUUUAUUUACCACACUGGGAACUGCUAGACGAAGUGGGAGAUGAGGCAGAGCAGUUCGAUCCUCCGUGCCCUAACUUGGCGACGGAGGACACCUACGGCGACGGCGGAGAGGACGAUGUCCGCGGUCGGCGUGAAGACGGCGUCGGAGAGGUUGCGGCAGCGAAGCGCUUCGUCACCGGCGACGUCGAGAGCUAGUGGUGGCGCUAGGGUUCGUGCGAGGGUGGAAGAAGAGAUAAUGACCGCUGUGAGUGUGUAUUUAUCGGCACAUGGGCGGCACUGUGCUAUUACACAGGUGCCCUGGCGAUUCGCAUUUGGGGAACACAUGGCCAUUAUGCGGAAUUUUGGGGUUUGUUCCACGUCCCAUGCACGCCUGGAUUGUCGGGUGGUUGUUCCUACUUCUCCGGAAUUCAUGUGGAGGAAUGAGCAUUGAAAACGGACUUAAUGGUUGUCUCUGUAUCUUCUGCUGACAAGGACGCAGAGAAGACAUUCGAUAGUUUCAAUAGAAUGCAUAUGACUUGGAGAGAUAGAGUUUGAGAUAGAAAGCAUAGAGAAGUUAGGGUCCGAUCACAUUCACUUAGUUCAAAAGAUUCAACACGAAGGCAUAGAUAUAAGUGAAUGCUGUAGAGGACAGAAUACUAGCAUAUAUAUAUAUAUAUAAUCAACAUAGUGAAGAUAAUAAUAAAAAUAUGUUGAGAUCGAAGCCAAACCAAAUGUGAUGAUGAGGACAUCAAUACAAUUGUUACACCCACAGCCCCUGCUGCUAUACAUACUGGACCAAUUACUAGAGCUCGUGCACGCCAAUUAAAUUACCAGGUACUUUCGUUUCUUGGUAAUGAUUCUAAUGUUCAUGAGAAUAUGAUGCUGCCUAAAUUGGAUACAUUUGUUUUGCUUACAAAUGAAGGGCCUAGCUUGGAGAAGGAUGAACAUUGGAGCAAGAACAAGCAUGGAGAUGAUGGCAUGCGCAAGGGGAACAAGAACGGAGUUACAAGUGAUGAUUUCAGGACUUUGAAGCCACCAUAAUGGGUGCAUGAAGCCUUGGAUGAAAUAUACAAGAUGCCACUUCAUAAAUUUCGUCCCGAGGCUAUUUUAGGUGCUGCGUCACCUUAUUAUUGGGCCAGGCCCAUGUAAUUUCGAAAUACAUAAGUAUAGGCUAUUUUUAGAGUCCGUAUGUGUGGGGAAACAAGAGAUAGGGUUGAUUUCGGACCCCUCCACCAAGGGCCACGAAAUUCCCCCCUCUUCCUCCAUAUAUACAGCCCUUAGGGCAUCGUUUAGACUUUGGGUUUUGUUUAGAUUAAAAGUUCGCCAUAGCUGCAACUUCGCGUACUUCGUUUGUGUUCAACGACCAGACAAAGGCGUCACAGAACCCCACCUUGAUUAAUAAAGCUUUCAUCUUAUAUUCGCAAUAUCCAGAUUGCAAUCUCAGUUUCUUGCUUGUUCUUCGUUUGCUUGCAGGAAACAGACCCUCGUGGUCAGGUUGAUCGUGCUCCGGCGUGGUCAAUAACCUCUCGUAGUUGGUUUAGUGAUUGCUAAGGCGCGACGUCCUCGCACGUUCGUAGUCGGAUCGUCAAAGUCAACUGCCACCAAAGCAAUAUCCAUCAUCUCAUCGAAAGACGGGACACCUUUGCCUCUAUCAUUAAUAGAGCUAAUAAAGCAAAACAGGAGACAAAUAAGAGUGAAAAUCAGAUUGUGGCAAAAGAAUUUGUGCACCAAAUGAAGCCUAAAAAUAAACCAUCUACUGUUGUUUCUGAAAUUAAAUUGAAAAGUGCAUGUUUACUUGCCACCAAAUCUGAUAUUGAUGAGCUAGAUUUUAGCAAAUCUGUUUGCUUUGCUUUUGUGUGCAAAGAGGUAUUAUUUUCAUUCGAGGACGUGCCUUCCUCUUUGCCCCCUGUUGUCACUAACAUUUUGCAGGAGUUCGCUGACGUCUUUCCACAAGACGUGCCACCGGGAUUACCACCUAUUCGAGGGAUUCAGCAUCAAAUUGACUUAAUUCCCGGUGCUUCGCUACCCAACUGUGCUCCAUACCGUACCAAUCCAGAGGAGACGAAGGAGAUUAUGCGUCAAGUACAAGAACUGCUCGACAAAGGUUAUAUACGCGAAUCCCUUAGUCCUUGUGCUGUUCCUAUCAUUUUAGUGCCGAAAAAGGAUGGUAUGUCGCGUAUGUGCGUUGAUUGUAGAGGCAUUAAUAAUAUUACUAUUCGUUAUCGUCAUCCUAUUCCUAGGCUAGAUGAUAUGCUUGAUGAAUUGAGUGGCUCUACAAUAUUCUCCAAAGUUGAUUUGUGUAGUGGAUACCAUCAAAUUCGUAUGAAAUUGGGUGAUGAAUGGAAAACAACAUUUAAAACUAAGUUUGGAUUAUAUGAGUGGUUAGUCAUGCCUUUUGGGUUAACUAAUGCACCUAGUACUUUCAUGAGGUUAAUGAACGAAGUUUUAUGUGCUUUCAUUGGACGAUUUGUGGUAGUUUACUUUGAUGACAUAUUGAUUUAUAGCAAAUCUUUGGAGGAACAUUUGGAACAUUUAUGUGCUGUUUUUAUUGCUCUACGUGAUGCACAUUUGUUUGGAAACCUUGGAAAGUGCACCUUUUGCACCGACCGAGUAUCUUUUCUUGGCUAUGUUGUUACUCCACAGGGAAUUGAAGUUGAUAAAGCCAACAUUGAAGCUAUUGAGAGUUGGCCGCAGCCCAAAACGGACACACAAGUGAGGAGUUUCCUUGGCCUCGCUGGUUUCUAUAGGCGUUUUGUGAGAGAUUUCAGCACCAUUGCUGCACCUCUCAACGAGCUUACAAAGAAGGAUGUGCCUUUUGUUUGGGGUACCGCACAGGAAGAAGCCUUCACGGUAUUGAAAGAUAAGUUGACACAUGCUCCUUUACUCCAACUUCCUAAUUUCAAUAAGACUUUUGAGCUUGAAUGUGAUGCUAGUGGAAUUGGAUUAGGAGGUGUGUUAUUACAAGAUGGAAAACCUGUUGCAUACUUUUCUGAAAAAUUGAGUGGGCCUAGUCUGAACUAUUCUACUUAUGAUAAAGAAUUAUAUGCUCUUGUUCGGACCUUAGAAACAUGGCAACAUUAUUUACGGCCCAAGGAAUUUGUUAUACAUUCUGGUCAUGAACCUUUGAAACACAUUAAAAGUCAAGCAAAACUGAACCGUAGACAUGCUAAAUGGGUUGAAUUCAUUGAGACUUUCCCUUAUGUCAUUAAACACAAGAAGGGUAAAGAAAAUGUUAUUGCUGAUGCCUUGUCUCGUCGUUAUACUAUGCUUUCACAACUUGACUUUAAAAUAUUUGGUUUGGAGACCAUCAAAGAUCAAUAUGUUCAUGAUGCUGAAUUUAAAGAUGUAUUGCAGAAUUGUAAGGAAGGGAGAACUUGGAACAAGUUCGUUAUUGACGAUGGAUUUGUGUUUCGUGCUAACAAGCUAUGCAUUCCAGCUAGCUCCGUUCGUCUUUUGUUGUUGCAGGAGGCGCAUGGAGGAGGAUUAAUGGGACACUUUGGCGUCAAGAAGACGGAGGAUAUACUUGCUACACAUUUCUUUUGGCCAAAGAUGAGACGGGAUGUUGAGUGUUUUGUUGCUCGCUGCACUACAUGUCAAAGAGCUAAGUCACGACUCAAUCCUCAUGGUUUAUAUAUGCCUUUGCCUGUACCUAGUGUUCCUUGGGAGGAUAUAUCUAUGGACUUUGUUUUAGGUUUACCUCGAACAAAGAAGGGGAGGGAUAGCAUAUUUGUUGUCGUGGAUAGGUUCUCGAAAAUGGCACACUUUAUACCAUGUCAUAGAAGCGAUGAUGUUGUUAAUGUUGCUGAUUUGUUCUUUCGUGAAAUUAUUCACUUACAUGGUGUGCCAAAUGCUAUUGUUUCAGAUCGUGAUACUAUAUUUCUUAGCCACUUUUGGAGAUGUUUAUGGGCUAAGUUGGGGACUAAGCUGCUUUUUAGUACUACUUGUCACCCCCAAACUGAUGGACAAACUGAAGUAGUCAAUAGAACAUUGUCUACUAUGCUUAGGGCUGUUUUGAAGAAUAACAAGAAAAUGUGGGAAGAAUGCUUGCCUCAUAUUGAAUUUGCUUAUAAGCGUUCAUUGCAUUCUACUACUAAGAUGUGCCCUUUUGAAAUUGUUUAUGGUUUCCUACCUCGUGCACCUAUUGAUUUGUUGCCUCUUCCAUCUUCAGAGAAGGUUAAUUUUGAUGCUAAAGAAUGUUCUGAAUUGAUUUUAAAAAUGCAUGAGUUAACUAAGGAAAACAUUGAGCGUAUGAAUGCUAAAUAUAAACUUGCUGGAGAUAAGGGUAGAAAACAUGUUGUGUUUGCGCCUGGAGAUCUUGUUUGGUUACAUUUGCGUAAAGAUAGAUUUCCUAAUCUGCGCAAAUCAAAGCUAAUGCCACGUGCUGAUGGUCCUUUUAAGGUGUUAGAGAAAAUAAAUGAUAAUGCAUAUAAACUUGAGCUACCUGUAGAUUUUGGGGUUAGUCCCACUUUUAACAUUGCAGAUUUGAAGCCUUAUUUGGGUGAGGAAGAUGCGCUUCCGUCGAGGACGACUUCGUUUUAAGAAGGGGAGGAUGAUGAGGACAUCAAUACCAUUGUUACACCCACAGCCCCUACUGUUACAUAUACUAGACCAAUUACUAGAGCUCGCGCACGCCAAUUAAAUUACCAGGUACUUUCGUUUCUUGGUAAUGAUUCUAAUGUUCAUGAGAUUAUGAUGCUGCCUAAAUUGGAUACAUUUGUUUUGCUUACAAAUGAAGGGCCUAGCUUGGAGAAGGAUGAACAUUGGAGCAAGAACACGCAUGGAGUUGAUGGCAUGCGCAAGGGGAGACGGAGUUACAAGUGAUGAUUUCAGGACUUUGAAGCCGCCAUAAGGAGUGCAUGAAGCCUUGGACGAAAUAUACAAGAUGCCACUUCAUAAUAUUCAUCCAUAGGCUAUUCUAGGUGCUGCGUCACCUUAUUAAUGGGCCAGGUCCAUGUAAUUUCGAAAUACUUAAGUAUAGGCUAUUUUUAGAGUCCGUAUGUGUGGGGAAACAAGAGUUAG
rnacentral:lncRNA from 1 species